ensembl:lncRNA
GGACACUGAACUAGAUGAUUCUUUAGAGUGCUCUAUCUUUUAAAAUUCUAAAUAUUUGUGUGUGUAAAAUUGUAGUAAUCCACAGUAGCUUCAUUGAAAUUGUUAGGUGGUCAGGAUGUACAUAAACUUAGAAGCCACUAGAUGUCAUACACUUCACAGAUUUUGCUUGUCAAACCCUGGAUGCCAGGGUAUUUGGGAAGCUGAAUGGAACCUUAAAAUUCACAUUGUUCAAUCAAGUCAGUUACCUAAAAGCAAAAAUAGACUAUUUGAACUAGAUACAUCAAGUGAUUUAGCUAAGAUCACAUAGCUAGUUAGCACAAAAAUCAGAUUUCUUGACUUCUAUUCCAGUGAACUUUCCUCUCCUUAAAGUCCAGAGCUCCUGGAGUGACCUAGAAGUUGGCAAGGUGUGCCCUGAACUACAGAAGUUUAAUCAGUGGGCCAGAAGCAGGCCUUUUUGCAGACUUGGAAGGAGUUGAUGACAAAGGCCUUUCAAUACUGCUGAGACUAAGACUGGGCUUAUACCUAAUCAUAAUGAGGAUGUUCCUCAAUCUCUAAAAAUUCAGAACAGUCAUUGACGAGGCACCACUACCAUAAAUUUUGCCUGCCCCAGAAAGUCUCCAGGUAAGAGCCUCCUUACAUCCAAUUUCCAUUCUAAAAGUAAAGUAAUAAACCAAAUUACAGCAAGCCAAUACAACUCCUCUCUCACUCUUUAUCCCAUUCAACUUAACCUUACAGGGACCCAGAAGAACAAUGAAAAAGUUACCAUUGAAUUAACUGUAAACUGUACCAUAUGAACUGGAAAUAAUGACUCUAAUGUUUGCCUAAGCCCCUGAGAGAUGUUGCUUAGUUUUAAUUAUUGAUCCUUUAUAGUAAACUUAUGUCCUUCAAAACCACUAGUUGUUAAUUGGAUUUGGAGAAUAAUAUAGAAUUGCAUAAUAUAAAAUCUGAAUUUAACAUUUAUAUUAUAUGGCUAUUUAUAAUUACAUCUGGCCCUUUUGUCUUCUCUAAG